rnacentral:rRNA from 1 species
UACGUAGGGUGCGGAGCGUUAAUCGGAAUUACUGGGCGUAAAGGUGUGCGCAGGCGGCCGCGCAAGUCGAGUGUGAAAUCCCCGAGCUUAACUUGGGAACUUGCGCUCGAAACUACGUGGCUGGAGUGUGGCAGAGGAAGGUGAAUUCCACGUGUAGCGGUGAAAUGCGUAGAGAUGAUGGAGGAACACCGGAUGGCGAAGGCAGCCUUCUGGGCCAACACUGACGCUCGAUGACACGGAAAGGCGUGGGGAGCAAACAGG